rnacentral:rRNA from 1 species
CCUACGGGGGGCAGCAGUUAGGAAUAUUGGUCAAUGGGCGGGAGCCUGAACCAGCCAAGCCGCGUGAGGGAAGACGGUACAGCGUAUCGUAAACCUCUUUUGUCGGGGAACAAAGGCGGGGACUAGUCCCCGGAUGAGGGUACCUGAAGAAAAAGCAUCGGCUAACUCCGUGCCAGCAGCCGCGGUAAUACGGAGGAGGCGAGCGUUAUCCGGAUUUAUUGGGUUUAAAGGGUGCGCAGGCGGCCUGUUAAGUCAGCGGUAAAAGGCCGGGGCUCAACCCCGGCGAGCCGUUGAAACUGGCUGGCUUGAGUUGGAGAGAAGUACGCGGAAUGCGCGGUGUAGCGGUGAAAUGCUUAGAUAUCGCGCAGAACCCCGAUUGCGAAGGCAGCGUACCGGCUCCACACUGACGCUGAGGCACGAAAGCGUGGGUAUCGAACAGGAUUAGAUACCCGAGUAGUC